AUGAACGCUGGCGGCGUGCCUAAUACAUGCAAGUCGAGCGAACGGACGAGAAGCUUGCUUCUCUGAUGUUAGCGGCGGACGGGUGAGUAACACGUGGAUAACCUACCUAUAAGACUGGGAUAACUUCGGGAAACCGGAGCUAAUACCGGAUGAUAUUUUGAACCGCAUGGUUCAAAAGUGAAAGACGGUCUUGCUGUCACUUAUAGAUGGAUCCGCGCUGCAUUAGCUAGUUGGCAAGGUAACGGCUUACCAAGGCAACGAUGCAUAGCCGACCUGAGAGGGUGAUCGGCCACACUGGAACUGAGACACGGUCCAGACUCCUACGGGAGGCAGCAGUAGGGAAUCUUCCGCAAUGGGCGAAAGCCUGACGGAGCAACGCCGCGUGAGUGAUGAAGGUCUUCGGAUCGUAAAACUCUGUUAUUAGGGAAGAACAUAUGUGUAAGUAACUGUGCACAUCUUGACGGUACCUAAUCAGAAAGCCACGGCUAACUACGUG
rnacentral:rRNA from 1 species